AAACGGUUAGUUUGUGGGUUAUAUUGUGUGGUUGUUGUAUUUCAGUGGAUACUAAUGAAUACUAGCGUUUUCGCUGGGGCAUGUUGUGCUUUUCAGCCGUUCAUCCAGGCGGGCGCGUGCAUGCGGGCACACCAUAUAUAGUAUAUGCUUCAUUCAGUGAUACACUAAAUUGUGUGAUUAAAUUUGUUUAGUCCUCUACCUACAGUAAGUUAAUAAAAACGAAUGAAUUAAACUAAGAAAUUGGACGAAAUAUAUCAGAUAAACUCACCAUUGACGUUUUCCUGUUUGCUCUCUACUUUAGUACAUGUUACUUUGAUUUUGUAGUAAUGUUUUUUAUCCAUCUCUUUGUGUUUAAGACAAAUUACAUAACAGGACACAGACAGACCGCAGCAUUGAAGGGCCUUCCUUUAUUUCUCCGUGAGGGUCACGAGAAGCUGUUCAGGAAUUGUCUGGAUACUGACCCAGAAGAGGAGAAGACAAGGGGUCUCAUAGUGGGGAUACUUUCUGUGAUGGAGGAUCAAAGUUCCGCUCCUGCAAGACUUCAAAAUGUAGCUGUGGUUUUAGAAGAACAUAUCGUCUUACAUGACCUCCCUGACCUGCCAACGGCCCUUGCGUUGCUCUUUGGGCCGAUAUACGCUCUGAACAUCCAGUUUCCCAAGGAACUGCGAUACACCUUUGAAAUGUUUCAAAAUAUCUUUUUGGAGCUGGGGACAGAUCUCUCUGCAAGAGUCAGAUCCCUCAAAAACAAACUUCUGUAACCCUGUGUCAGAACCUAAUGUUGAGCUGCAAGUUCUGUUGAAAACAAACUUGUUGGGCCUGUUUUAAAUUGUUAAUGUUCAUGCUGCCCUUUUGUAUAUUUACUUAUUUUACUCAGUCCCCCAAAUAUCUCUUCUCUUCCUGUCUAUAGGAAUAAUGCUGUAUUAUGCAUUUUAAUACAGCACGUGCUGAUAUUUCAAUGUUUUAAGAAAGCAACUGUUUCACCUGAUCGGGUGAGCUAUUGGUCUUCUGUGCUUUUGCACAGCACUUAAGACAUGCAAGACAUGUUCAAUAAAAAAAGAUUUGAAUUGA